rnacentral:rRNA from 1 species
UACAGAGGUCCCGAGCGUUGUUCGGAUUCACUGGGCGUAAAGGGUGCGUAGGUGGUCAAGUAAGUCUGUCGUGAAAUACUGGAGCCCAACUCCGGAACGGCGACGGAAACUACUCGACUAGAGGAUUGGAGGGGGGACUGGAAUUCUCGGUGUAGCAGUGAAAUGCGUAGAUAUCGAGAGGAACACCAGUGGCGAAGGCGAGUCCCUGGACAAUUCCUGACGCUGAGGCACGAAAGCUAGGGGAGCAAACAGG